GACGGGGGAUGCAAGCGUUAUCCGGAAUCACUGGGCGUAAAGCGUCUGUAGGUGGCGAUGCAAGUCUCUGGUGAAAGACUCUGGCUCAACCGGAGGAAAGCCAGGGAAACUGCAUGACUAGAGAGCGGGAGAGGUAGAAGGAAUUCCCUGAGUAGCGGUGAAAUGCGUAGAGACAGGGAAGAACACCGGAGGCGAAAGCGUUCUACUGGACCAUAACUGACGCUGAUGGACGAAAGCUAGGGGAGCGAAUGGG
rnacentral:rRNA from 1 species